UCGAAUUUUAAUGAAGAGUUUGGUUGUAGCUGGCCCAUUCAUUUGGGCAUGUGCACACCUUCCUCUUUCAUCCCACACACACCUGUGAACCUGUGAGACAGAGAUGGGGAAUUUACUUGCUGCUUUUUGGAAUACAAAGGCAAUAGGUUAUUGGACCCCCCCUCUGUCUACUCAGUUAAUAUAAACUCAAUUUAUUUUAAAACGAAUGUAAUGGAUGUAACACAUCUCAUAC
rnacentral:misc_RNA from 1 species